AGAUGUAGGGACAACCUUGCAGCAAUAUCUGUCACCCUGUAGCUCACUAGGGUUGUGUCAGCAGAUGUGGCUGCCUGGGCAAGUGCCCUCGUCUCUUCCCACUCCACGAGCAUCCCUCCAGUAGCUGUGUGCUCAGUAAAGAAGACGGCUUUCCAUGACAGACUGCUGUCCCUGCUGUCCUUCUGUCAAGAGCACACAAGUAGCUGUGCUCCAACCAAAUUACCCCCGAACAACCUCUCACCCAUGCUCCCUCUAUACGACAUGGAUGCAU
rnacentral:snRNA from 1 species